rnacentral:miRNA from 1 species
UAGGUACCCUCAAUGGCUCAGUAGCCAGUGUAGAUCCUGUCUUUUGUAAUCAGUAGCUACAUCUGGCUACUGGGUCUCUGAUGGCAUCUUC